rnacentral:rRNA from 1 species
GACGAACGCUGGCGGCGUGCUUAACACAUGCAAGUCGAACGGAAAGGCCCUGCUUUUGUUGGGUGCUCGAGUGGCGAACGGGUGAGUAACACGUGAGUAACCUUCCCUUGACUUUGGGAUAACUUCAGGAAACUGGGGUUAAUACCGGAUAGGAUCUCCUGCUGCAUGGUGGGGGUUGGAAAGUUUCGGCGGUUGGGGAUGGACUCGCGGCUUAUCAGCUGGUUGGUGGGGUAGUGGCUUACCAAGGCUUUGACGGGUAGCCGGCCUGAGAGGGUGACCGGCCAAAUUGGGACUGAGAUACGGCCCAGACUCCUACGGGAGGCAGCGGGGGGGAAUAUUGCCCAAUGGGCGGAAGCCGGAUGAACCAACGCCGGGUGCGGGAUGACGGCUUUCGGGUUGUAAACCGCUUUAGCAUGUGACGAAGCGUGAGUGACGGUAAUGGGAGAAGAAGCACCGGCUAACUACGUG